rnacentral:rRNA from 1 species
AUGCUGAGAACUUUCCAGAGAUGGAUUGGUGCCUUUCGGGAACUCAGACACAGGUGCUGCAUGGCUGUCGUCAGCUCGUGUCGUGAGAUGUUGGUUAAGUCCCGUAACGAGCGCAACCCUUGUCCUUAGUUACCAGCGGGUUAUGCCGGGAACUCUAAGGAGACUGCCGGUGACAAACCGGAGGAAAGGUGGGAUGACGUCAAGUCAUCAUGGCCCUUACGGCCAGGGCUACACACGUGCUACAAUGGUCGGUACAAAGGGUUGCCAAGCCGCGAGGUGGAGCUAAUCCCAUAAAACCGAUCGUAGUCCGGAUCGCAGUCUGCAACUCGACUGCGUGAAGUCGGAAUCGCUAGUAAUCGUGAAUCAGAAUGUCACGGUGAAUACGUUCCCGGGCCUU